CGACGUGUGCAGCGGAAACUCGGCGAUGCUCAACUGGGACCGGGAUCACGAAGAAACACCUUUACCUCGAGGCGAAAAAGUGUCCCCUGCAGGACCUCCAGAAGAAACACCAGUCCCCGCAACGGUACCUUGCACAAGAAUGUGCCGACCUGCACUAUUAAUCCAGCUAGGUUUUCAUGUACAUUUUCAUUAAUUUUAUUGCCCUUGAAGUUAUUAAAGUGCUAAUAUGUUUUAAAAA
rnacentral:lncRNA from 1 species